rnacentral:rRNA from 1 species
UACGAGAGAUACAAGUGUUGUUCGGAAUUAUUGGGUGUAAAGGGUGCGUAGACGGCUUAGUAAGUUGCAGGUAAAGGGUGGGGCUCAACCCCAUUUCACCUGCUAAUACUGCUAGGGCUUGAGGAUGGGAGAGGUAAGUGGAAUUUCUAGUGGAAUUGUGAAACAUGUUGAUAUUAGAAGGAAUGCCAGAGGCGAAGGCGGCUUACUAUUACAUACCUGACGUUGAGGCACGAAAGCGUGGGGAGCGAACGGG